rnacentral:misc_RNA from 1 species
GAAAUGCGAUAAGUAAUGUGAAUUGCAGAAUUCAGUGAAUCAUCGAAUCUUUGAACGCACCUUGCGCUCCUUGGUAUUCCUUGGAGCAUGCCUGUUUGAGUAUCAUGAAAUCUUCAAAGUAAAUCUUUUGUUAACUCAAUUGGUUUCUACUUUGGUAUUGGAGGUCUUUGCAGCUUCACACCUGCUCCUCUUUGUUCAUUAGCUGGAUCUCAGUGUUAUGCUUGGUUCCACUCGGCGUGAUAAGUUAUCUAUCGCUGAGGACACUGUAAAAGGUGGCCAAGGUAAAUGCAGAUGAACCGCUUCUAAUAGUCCAUUGACUUGGACAAUACUUUUAUGAUCUGAUCUCAAAUCAGGUAGGACUACACGCUGGACUUAAGC